UUGGAGCAUCUGAGCCAUCAAUAUAAAGUCAGCUGCAACCACAGAGCAGAUACACUGCAAAAUUUUGUAUUCCACAGUUCUUCAUCUUGUUGAGUGCAUCCUGGUCCAGCUGUGCAGUAAUCCCAGCAGUCAACAUGAUGUUUCAAAGUGUUUUCAGGUGUUCCUGGAUUUGCCUGCUACUCUUUAGUGUUGGAGCUUGUG